rnacentral:lncRNA from 1 species
AUGGUAAAGAGAUGUCAACCAACCAUAAGGGAGCCAGUGAGCGUUGUGUGCUUUCUCUGGGUCUCUGGAACUCUGUGCUCAGCGCUGCACAUCAUUUUAAGAAAGGAAAGACCAGACUUGGCUUGUGGCUCGGGAAGAGGUUCAUGGACAAGCUGGAGUCGGAGCUGGGCCUUGGGGACCAGGGAGACUUUUAUAGAUAGAGACGAGUGCCAGGCCCGAGAGAAGGGGCUUGCAGAGGGCUGGAGAUUUGGCAGGUGCACUUGCAGCUGGGGGCAGGGAUGUGUUUGGAGGGGCUGGGGGCCAUUCCAGGUGAAGCAGGAGAGGGCAGUGGAAAAGCUGGGGAUGGGUGUGGAGUUGGGGGUGACACGCAGCUCUGUUUUUUUGGGACCUAUGCUCUAAGUGAGCGUGAGUGGAGGUGUGGCUUGGUGCCUAAUGGUGAAAGAGACCAGGGAAGGGAUUCAUGAUGCAUGGAGACACACCCCAGAAACAGGCAUGGCAGGUGGACUGAAGGUUGGGGAUCAGUAUAUGCACACUGGGGUCCAGAGGAUGGAUAGUCAGCAUGGACCUGCUGGAUAGCACAGGGAACUAACUCUACCCAAUAUUUCGUGAUCAUCCAUAUGCGAAAAGAAUCCCCCCCCAAAGAAAAGGAUGUGUGUCCAUGUCUAACCGAAUCACCUCCUUGUACAGCAGAAAUGAUCGCAACCUUGUAAAUUAACGAGACUUUAAGAAAACUUGAAAAAAAAAAUCAGUGGGCAUUGGGAAGAUGCUUUGUGUGAUCUGAUGCUGUCCUGGAGCAGUGGACGUGGGAAGGGGGAGAAAGAGCCGAACCGGAUGCUGUCCUCUUGUUCCGGGCUCACAGUGACCUCAGAGAGAGGCACUGCAGUGACAGCAUUGGGGUUGGGGGUGUCCGGACUGUCCGGCCCGCCCUGGUGCUCUGUUGUAGACGGUUUGCCCAUAUUUCAGACCUGGGCCAUGCGCUGUGCACUGUACAUUGGCCUUUCAAAAAUAAUAAUAAUAGGACGUUCCUGUCGUGGCUCAGUGGUUAACGAAUCUGACUAGGAACCACGAGGUUGCGGGUUCAGUCCCUGGCCUUGCUCAGUGGGUUAAGGAUCCGGAGUUGCUGUGGCUCUGGUGUAGGCCAGUAGCUACAGCUCCGAUUAGACCCCUAGCCUGGGAACCUCCAUGUGCUGCGGAAGCGGCCCUAGAAAAGGCAAAAAGACCAAAAAAAAAAAAAAAAAAAAAAAGAAGAAGAAGAAUAAGAAAAAGAGAGAUUGCCCUUUAAGCCCCCCUCCCCCCACUCCCACAUUUUGUAUUCAUCAGGGUCAUACUCAUUUUUCUGUUCAUACGUAUACAAAAGAUGCACUUUGGGUUAUACAAGGGGUAGAUGCCAAUGUCAAGAGCAGACAAGAACAAUGGAACAAUUAGCAGAUUCAUCAGUUCUUCUGCUUAUACUUCAAUUCCAAGAGUGAAAUGUUCGUUUGUUCAACUCUCUGCUUUACGCCUUGAUCACAGUGUGAACGUGUUGACUAAGCUUCGCUUCCUGGUCAGAGGGUCGGGACCCAUGGCUUUUAAACAUGCUUAUAUGAAAUCCAAACAUUCAUGGCCACUGGUGCUCUUGAAAUCAAGGCACAACUUAUAAAACGAACACAUCAUUAUCUUGUUUAUCCAGGGUAUAAAUAGAGUUCAUGCAUUUAAAAAUUUUUCUUCCUGAUAAGGACUUUAGCCAGCGUUUGGUCUUCAGAUAGCCUUUCUCCCUGGCCUGCUUUUCUCUCUCUCUCUUCUCCCUCCCCCCCUUCCCCCUCCCUCUUACCCCCCCCCUCCCUCCACCCUUUCUCCUUCUCUCCUUCAGAAAAGGAGGGACCUAUUGGAGUUCUGUGGCUGCCCCUGGAAGAGGCAGGACCAGCCUGGGGCUUUCUUUCUUGGAGCCCUUUGCCACUUCCAUGAAUCCAGGGAAGGGCUGUGAAGCCCACACCUGCCUCUGACAGCCCAGCUGGGGACCAGGUCCAAAGAGCGAGGUUCCCCGGGGAUGAGACCUUCCUGGGUGCUCCCUGACAUGGGGUGGGGGUACGGUUUAUGCCCAGAAUGACUCCUUAGCUCUAAUUCAGACGGAGCUCAUUUUGGAUUUUUAUCGUACCUGCUACGACACACUCCUAGCUUUAAUAUUUUUGGAGACACACUUCUUAUUUUAUUUUAUUUUAUUUUAUUUUAUUUUAUUUUAUUUUAUUUUAUUUUAUUUUAUUUUAUUUUUGUCUUUUUGCUAUUUCUUGGGCCGCUUCUGCGACAUAUGGAGGUUCCUAGGCUAGGGGUCGGACACACUUCUUUUAAUUAAAUAUUAUAUUUAGAUUUGGGGUUCAUAGAUGCAAACUCUAUUGCCUUUGGGAUGGAUAAGCAAUGAGAUCCUGCUGUAUAGCACCAGGAACUCUAUCUAGUCACUUAGGAUGGAACAUGAGCAUGUGAGAAAAAAAAAUGCAUAUGUGUAUGUGACUGGGUCACCUUGCUGUACAGUAGAAAAUUGACAGAACAUUGUAAACCAGAUAUAAUGGAAAAAAAAUCAUUAGGAAAAAAGUAUUAUAUUUAGCUCUGUCCUAAAUAAGAAUCUCUCAGAGAUCUCUGGUUUGAUGUGCCCAUUAUAUGUGUUUUUUCAUAUUAGACAAUGAAAUAAUUAUGUAAGUGUUCACUGUUUUUCUAAAGGAGUUUUUUGGGUGUGUCUCACCUAAAAUCGUCGUGCAUGUCCUAGUGGCCAGCAUGCAAGCCUUUGGGGAUCACUGCAUUGCCCCAUUGGAAUGUUUGUGCCCAGCUGGCUGCCUAGGAUCUAGUUCAAGUUACUCCAUGAAGCUACUGUCUCCCCAGACCCUGAGGAAGCCCCUCACCCACCCCUCCAGCUAGUUCUCCUUGACUCCCUGAUCUCAUGGCCCUGUCUUCAGAAUCCCUAAUUGCCUUCGAAUCCUGUGCUGCUCUGGUUGCGUCUGACCAUGCUGUGAGCAGUUGCUGGGCCAUGUUUCUGACUCUGCCCCUUCCCUGCUUAAUGCCCACCCAAAGUGCCAGAUCAACUGAGCUAGCUGUCUGCCAGUCUGUCAGUUCUGUCUAUGUAUCUGUCUGUCCAUCCAUCCAUCCUAUCCACCCCCUUUGUGUGUCUCUUUUUCAUUUAUAUGUCUGUCUGUCUAUCUAUGUAUCUCUCAUCUAUCUUUCAAUCAUCUAUUCAUCUGUCUAAUGUCCUACCCCCUCCUUUCUCUCCUUCCUUCCUUUCAUCCUCCCUGAUGAGCCAGGCACCACUUUAGGCCCUGGGAACAUAGCAAAGAACCAAACAAAGGCCCUGCCCUCAGGUAGCUGACAUUCUAGGCAAGAAACAAAUAAAAAAAUAGAUGAAGAAUCCA